rnacentral:rRNA from 1 species
AACGAACGCUGGCGGCAUGCCUAACACAUGCAAGUCGAACGAGACCUUCGGGUCUAGUGGCGCACGGGUGCGUAACGCGUGGGAACCUGCCCUUAGGUUCGGAAUAACUCCCCGAAAGGGGUGCUAAUACCGGAUAAUGUCUUCGGACCAAAGAUUUAUCGCCUUUGGAUGGGCCCGCGUUGGAUUAGCUAGUUGGUAGGGUAAAAGCCUACCAAGGCGACGAUCCAUAGCUGGUCUGAGAGGAUGAUCAGCCACACUGGGACUGAGACACGGCCCAGACGAGGAGGGGGGGAAGGGGGGGGAAAGAUGGAAGAAGGGAGGAAAGAAUGACACGGAAGGGCGGGGUGAGGGAUGAAGGCAGGAGGGUUGAAAAACAAAGUAGCGCGGAAAGAAAAUGAAAGAAGGGAGAAAAAGAGUGCCGGAAAACGCCGGGCAAGAGGCAGCGGUAAGAAGGGGAGGAGAAAGCGUCUAAGC